rnacentral:rRNA from 1 species
AGUCGAACGUGAAAGCACUUCGGUGUGAGUAGAGUGGCGGACGGGUGAGUAACGCGUGGGAAUCUACCCAGUAGUGGGGGACAACUACCGGAAACGGUAGCUAAUACCGCAUACGCCCUAUGGGGGAAAGGCUUCGGCCGCUAUUGGAUGAGCCCGCGUCAGAUUAGCUAGUUGGUAGGGUAAAGGCCUACCAAGGCAACGAUCUGUAGCUGGUCUGAGAGGACGAACAGCCACACUGGGACUGAGACACGGCCCAGACUCCUACGGGAGGCAGCAGUGGGGAAUAUUGGACAAUGGGCGAAAGCCUGAUCCAGCAAUGCCGCGUGUGUGAAGAAGGCCUGCGGGUUGUAAAGCACUUUCAGUUGGGAAGAUGAUGACGUUACCAACAGAAGAAGCACCGGCUAAAUCCGUGCCAGCAGCCGCGGUAAUACGGAUGGUGCGAGCGUUAAUCGGAAUUACUGGGCGUAAAGCGCGCGUAGGCGGCUAAGUCAGUCAGAAGUGAAAGCCCCGGGCUCAACCUGGGAAUUGCUUUUGAUACUGCUUAGCUAGAGUUUGGUAGAGGAUAGUGGAAUUCCAGGUGUAGCGGUGAAAUGCGUAGAUAUCUGGAGGAACAUCAGUGGCGAAGGCGACUGUCUGGACCAAAACUGACGCUGAGGUGCGAAGGCGUGGGUAGCAAACAGGAUUAGAUACCCUGGUAGA